rnacentral:rRNA from 1 species
AACGAACGCUGGCGGCGUGCCUAACACAUGCAAGUCGAGCGCGAAAAGGGCAACCUGAGUAGAGCGGCGCACGGGUGCGUAACACGUGGGUAAUCUGCCUCAAAGUUUGGGAUAACCUUCCGAAAGGUUGGCUAAUACCGGAUAAGCUCACGAGGUCUUCGGACUUUGUGGGAAAAGGUGGCCUCUGUUUACAAGCCAUCACUUUGAGAUGAGCCCGCGGCCCAUCAGCUAGNGGCGGGGUAAAGCCCACCAAGGCUACGACGGGUAGCUGGUCUGAGAGGACGAUCAGCCACACUGGAACUGAGACACGGUCCA